rnacentral:lncRNA from 1 species
GCUUGCAUAUUUUCUAGGAUCAAACAAGUACGUCAGCAUAUCUAGAUGAAUACCACAUCAUAAACAUACAUAAUAUUACAAGUUCAAAUGUUUAUGUAGUUAUAACACUUGUUAAUACAUCCUCUGGAGAACAAGGAUUCUGUGAACAUUAGACUGCAGCUUUUCUGGCCUUGUUAUUGAUUCAGCGACAAUAAUUCAGGUUAAGAAUUCGAAUGCAUUCAUGUUUUACCGACAUUAUGUGUAUGGCCAACGGCGAGCAGGGGAUAUCACCAAUUGAGGUGCACACAAAAGGUGCAGAGUAAGGCUCGAUUGCCAUUGCUGAACCGUGUUGUGUUAAACUUAUUUUAUAAUCUGUUUUAGAAAGACGCACACAAAAGCAGAAAAAGUAGGUUAGGCAAACGAAAAGAUAAAAAAAAAUUGGUUGAAAAAGUUGAAUUAUCAUAAUCUACCUAAAUGACAAACGCAUACUAACUCGAAUGUAGCAGCGCGACGGCAUUCGUGGAGAAAAACAGAGCUCUGUUGGGGGCGGGUGGUGAGGGAAGGUGAGGCGGAGCACAUUGUGAAGGCCACAAGGAGCAGAUGCGACGCGACGGCG